GGAAUAUUGCACAAUGGGCGAAAGCCUGAUGCAGCGACGCCGCGUGAGUGAAGAAGUAUUUCGGUAUGUAAAGCUCUAUCAGCAGGGAAGAAAAUGACGGUACCUGACUAAGAAGCCCCGGCUAACUACGUGCCAGCAGCCGCGGUAAUACGUAGGGGGCAAGCGUUAUCCGGAUUUACUGGGUGUAAAGGGAGCGCAGACGGCUGAGUAAGUCUGAAGUGAAAGCCUGGGGCUCAACCCCGGAAUUGCUUUGGAAACUAUUUAGCUAGAGUGCAGGAGAGGUAAGUGGAAUUCCUAGUGUAGCGGUGAAAUGCGUAGAUAUUAGGAGGAACACCAGUGGCGAAGGCGGCUUACUGGACUGUAACUGACGUUGAGGCUCGAAAGCGUGGGGAGCAAACA
rnacentral:rRNA from 1 species